AGAGUUUGAUCAUGGCUCAGGAUGAACGCUAGCGGCAGGCCUAACACAUGCAAGUCGAGGGGUAACAUGGUCUUCGGACUGAUGACGACCGGCGCACGGGUGCGUAACGCGUAUGCAAUCUACCCUUAUCUGGAGAAUAGCCCGAAGAAAUUCGGAUUAAUGCUCCAUAGUAUUUAAAAGUGGCAUCACUUUAAAAUUAAAGCUUCGGCGGAUAAGGAUGAGCAUGCGUCCUAUUAGUUAGUUGGUGAGGUAACGGCUCACCAAGGCAGCGAUAGGUAGGGGGCCUGAGAGGGUGAUCCCCCACACUGGUACUGAGACACGGACCAGACUCCUACGGGAGGCAGCAGUGAGGAAUAUUGGUCAAUGGACGAAAGUCUGAACCAGCCAUGCCGCGUGCAGGACGACGGCCCUACGGGUUGUAAACUGCUUUUAUAUGGGAAUAAACCCUCGAACGUGUUCGAGGCUGAAGGUACCAUACGAAUAAGGAUCGGCUAACUCCGUGCCAGCAGCCGCGGUAAUACGGAGGAUCCAAGCGUUAUCCGGAUUCAUUGGGUUUAAAGGGUCCGCAGGCGGGAUACUAAGUCAGUGGUGAAAGCCUCCAGCUCAACUGGGGAACUGCCAUUGAUACUGGUAUUCUUGAGUAUAGUUGAAGUGGGCGGAAUGAGUCAUGUAGCGGUGAAAUGCAUAGAUAUGACUCAGAACACCGAUUGCGAAGGCAGCUCACUAAACUAUUACUGACGCUCAGGGACGAAAGCGUGGGGAGCAAACAGGAUUAGAUACCCUGGUAGUCCACGCUGUAAACUAUGAUCACUCGCUGUUGGCGAUAUACUGUCAGCGGCUUAGCGAAAGCAUUAAGUGAUCCACCUGGGGAGUACGCUCGCAAGAGUGAAACUCAAAGGAAUUG
rnacentral:rRNA from 1 species